rnacentral:rRNA from 1 species
UACGAAGGGGGCUAGCGUUGCUCGGAAUCACUGGGCGUAAAGCGCACGUAGGCGGAUUGCUAAGUCAGGGGUGAAAUCCUGGAGCUCAACUCCAGAACUGCCUUUGAUACUGGCGACCUUGAGUCCGGGAGAGGUGAGUGGAACUGCGAGUGUAGAGGUGAAAUUCGUAGAUAUUCGCAAGAACACCAGUGGCGAAGGCGGCUCACUGGCCCGGUACUGACGCU